rnacentral:rRNA from 1 species
CCUACGGGGGGCUGCAGUGGGGAAUAUUGGACAAUGGGGGCAACCCUGAUCCAGCCAUGCCGCGUGUGUGAAGAAGGCCCUCGGGUUGGAAAGCACUUUCAGUUGGGAAGAACGCCUGGUGGUUAAUACCCAUCAGGAAAGACAUCACUCACAGAAGAAGCACCGGCUAACUCCGUGCCAGCAGCCGCGGUAAUACGGAGGGUGCGAGCGUUAAUCGGAAUUACUGGGCGUAAAGCGCGCGUAGGUGGCUUGAUAAGCCGGUUGUGAAAGCCCCGGGCUCAACCUGGGAACGGCAUCCGGAACUGUCAGGCUAGAGUGCAGGAGAGGAAGGUAGAAUUCCCGGUGUAGCGGUGAAAUGCGUAGAGAUCGGGAGGAAUACCAGUGGCGAAGGCGGCCUUCUGGACUGACACUGACACUGAGGUGCGAAAGCGUGGGUAGCAAACAGGAUUAGAUACCCCAGUAGUC